UACAGAGGUCCCGAGCGUUGUUCGGAUUCACUGGGCGUAAAGGGUGCGUAGGUGGUUGGGCAAGUCUGAUGUGAAAUCUCCGGGCUUAACCCGGAAAUGGCAUUGGAAACUGCUUGGCUAGAGUGUUGGAGGGGGGACUGGAAUUCUCGGUGUAGCAGUGAAAUGCGUAGAUAUCGAGAGGAACACCAGUGGCGAAGGCGAGUCCCUGGACAACGACUGACACUGAGGCACGAAAGCUAGGGGAGCAAACAGG
rnacentral:rRNA from 1 species